CGCUCCUCCGAUCUGACCAAAUAAGACGAAAACAGACUUCUCUUCAUAUGAAAUAAGGAAAUCGUGGGGUGACUUCUUUAGGAAUAGUUCACCCUAGAGUUUUGGAAGGACAAAUGUGAGUGAUGGUAUAACAAUUCAAAUUCACUAAGUGAAUUUGGGAGAAUACUUGAAUAAAAUAAAUUGAAUAUGUAUUCAAAAG
rnacentral:lncRNA from 1 species